AUGCAAGUCGAGCGGGCUUAUUCGGGCAACUGGAUAAGUUAGCGGCGAACUGGUGAGUAACACGUAGGUAAUCUGCCGUGAAGCGGGGGAUAACCCAUGGAAACAUGGACUAAUACCGCAUAUACUCUUGCUACAUAAGUAGAGUAGAGGAAAGUUUUUUCGCUUCACGAUGAGCCUGCGGCCUAUUAGCCUGUUGGUAGGGUAAUGGCCUACCAAAGCUACGAUAGGUAGCCGACCUGAGAGGGUGACCGGCCACAUUGGGACUGAGAUACGGCCCAGACUCCUACGGGAGGCAGCAGCUGAGAAUCUUCCACAAUGGACGAAAGUCUGAUGGAGCGACAUCGCGUGAGGGAUGAAGGCCUUCGGGUUGUAAACCUCGGAAAUUAUCGAAGAAUGAGUGACAGUAGAUAAUGUAAGCCUCGGCUAACUACGUGCCAGCAGCCGCGGUAAUACGUAGGAGGCAAACGUUGCUCGGAUUUACUGGGCGUAAAGGGUGAGUAGGCGGAUUUAUAAGUCUAAGGUGAAAGACCGAAGCUCAACUUCGGGAACGCCUCGGAUACUGUAAGUCUUGGAUAUUGUAGGGGAUGAUGGAAUUCUCGGUGUAGCGGUGGAAUGCGCAGAUAUCGAGAGGAACACCUAUAGCGAAGGCAGUCAUCUGGGCAUUUAUCGACGCUGAAUCACGAAAGCUAGGGGAGCAAACAGGCUUAGAUACCCUGGUAGUCCUAGCCGUAAACGUUGUACACUAGGUGCUUCUAUUUAAAUAGGAGUGCCGUAGCUAACGUCUUAAGUGUACCGCCUGAGGAGUAUGCCCGCAAGGGUGAAACUCAAAGAAAUUGACGGGUCCCCGCACAAGUGGUGGAGCAUGUGGUUUAAUUCGAUGAUACGCGAAAAACCUUACCUGGGUUUGAAUUGU
rnacentral:rRNA from 1 species